rnacentral:rRNA from 1 species
UACGUAGGGUGCGAGCGUUGUCCGGAAUUAUUGGGCGUAAAGAGCUUGUAGGCGGUUUGUCGCGUCUGCUGUGAAAAUCCGGGGCUCAACCCCGGACUUGCAGUGGGUACGGGCAGACUGGAGUUCGGCAGGGGAGACUGGAAUUCCUGGUGUAGCGGUGAAAUGCGCAGAUAUCAGGAGGAACACCGGUGGCGAAGGCGGUUCUCUGGGCAUGUCCUGACGCUGAGGAGCGAAAGUGUGGGGAGCGAACAGG